CAGUGUUGGGAAUACGUAUAAAUAUCAGAACUAACAUAGGAUAGAUAUCAAUUGAUUUCGAGGCACUCAUCUCUUUACAUCAAUUGUAAAUAUGUUGUUCACUUUUCUCGUAGCUGUCGCAGCAUUCGCUGUAUUACUUGAUGGCGCACUAGCAGAACUUUACUUCCAUCCUCCCAGACAUGAUUGGCCUGGAGACCACCAUCAUGGCAUUUAACACCAUGGGUUUAAGGAAUUCCUUCCGGGUGACAGCGGCGCUGUACUGACCGGGGGUUUCUAUUACCUACAUUUCAUUCCCUGGUUAAGAUUAUACCUUUUACAAAUCAAUUCCAUCAAUACUGUACAGAAAAUCUUAAACAAAAAAUAUAUGUUUAAACAAAA